rnacentral:rRNA from 1 species
AUUGAACGCUGGCGGCAGGCUUAACACAUGCAAGUCGAGCGAGCGGCGGACGGGUGAGUAAUGUCUGGGAAACUGCCUGAUGGAGGGGGAUAACUACUGGAAACGGUAGCUAAUACCGCAUACCAUCAGAUGUGCCCAGAUGGGAUUAGGUAGUAGGUGGGGUAAUGGCUCACCUAGGCGACGAUCCCUAGCUUGUCUGAGGGGAUGACCAUCCACCCUGGAACUGAGCCACGGUCCCGACUCCUACGGUCGGCAGCAGUGGGGAAUAUUGCACAAUGGGCGCAAGCCUGAUGCUGCCAUGCCGCGUGUGUGAAGAAGGCCUUCGGGUUGUGAGGCACUUUCAGCGAGGAGGCGUUACUCGCAGAAGAAGCACCGGCUAACUCCGUGCCAGCCGCCGCGGUAAUAC